rnacentral:tRNA from 1 species
GCUCGGGUGGCGGAAUGGCAGACGCAGACGGCUUAAACCCGUCGGCCCCCCGCGGGCAUGUGGGUUCGACUCCCACCCCGAGCA